GUAGGUGGCAAGCGUUGUCCGGAAUUAUUGGGGCGUAAAGCGCGCGCAGGCGGUUCGUUUAAGUCUGAUGUGAAAGCCCACGGGCUCAAUCGUGGAGGGUCAUUGGAAACUGGAGAACUUGAGUACAGAAGAGGAAAGCGGAAUUCCACGUGUAGCGGUGAAAUGCGUAGAGAUGUGGAGGAACACCAGUGGCGAAGGCGGCUUUCUGGUCUGUAACUGACGCUGAGGCGCGAAAGCGUGGGGAGCAAACAGGAUUAGAUACCCUGGUAGUCCACGCCGUAAACGAUGAGUGCUAAGUGUUAGGGGGUUUCCGCCCCUUAGUGCUGCAGCUAACGCAUUAAGCACUCCGCCUGGGGAGUACGGCCGCAAAGGCUGA
rnacentral:rRNA from 1 species